AGCACUAAUGCACCGGAUCCCAU
rnacentral:snRNA from 1 species